ACGUAAUUGCUGGAGUAGCUCCUGAGUUUCCGCAGAUGAGCCGCGGGAAAGGAGACGAGGGGCGGUGGCCAGGCGGUUGCCCUGACAACGGGGAACCGACCGACUCUUCCCGGUAGGGAGAGGCGAUGGCGGAAUUACUCCUCUAAUGUCAAGGUAUUCUAAUCACAGAAUUACUGGAGCAUCAAGAAGUGCCUGCAUGCUUGGAAGGGCUUCCAGGCAGAUGAACACACCUCAGCACCGGGUGGCAUUUUCCCAGGGUGCAACCCGGAGCGGCUCUGGGUCACACUGACAAGGACAACAGGGUUAACAAUUUCCAGAGACAGCCCGUACAUAGAAGGAAUGUUUACUGAAAAAAAUGAAGAGGGGUCAGGGCAAGGCGAGGAGCGAGAAGCACCCCCAAGGAAACAGAGAAGACCAGUACAACUGUACCUCUUUGCCAGCUGCACCAUCCGUACCAG